UGAGAUGUCAUAUUUAAUUUGAAAUAUUUUUAAAUUUUUUCUUUUGUCGACUGUUUUAAAGUGCACAUGAUUCAAAAUUCCCCCCCCUUCUUUUUUUCUUAAAUUCAAAAAUAUAUGUUACGAGAAGUAUUUCAGUGAAAAAAAGUAAGUCACAACGUUUCAAGAACACAUUUUAAAAUGCGAUUAAAGUUUGCAUUUUUUCUGCAAAAUAUGGGGCAAGAGCCCGGGAAUGAAUAAUAGAGCUGUCACGUCAUCAGUUGUGUAGGAGAUGUUGUUCCCAGUGAUCAAGCAGUGGUUUUGAGUUAUUCUACUUGUCGUUUACGAGCUAAAUAUGUCAGAAAGCGAUCACAGUGAUCAAGAGUUGUCUUGUACAUCAUCUGAGGAUGAUGUAGAAUCAUUCUCAAGUUCUGAAGAAGACAGUACAGGCAUCAUGGGCAAGAUAGUCGCAAACGUUGGCAAACUCCGAUGAAAGUGACAGCAACCGACAAGAAGAGGAAGAGGAGGAUGAAGAUGGCUUAUCUUGUGCCACUUAAUCGCAAAGAUUUGAGAAAACAGAACCUGCCAGUUUGGCAAACUCCGAUGAAAGUGACAGCAACCUACAAGAAGAGGAAGAUGAGGAUGAAGAUGGCUUAUCUUGUGCCACUUUAUCGCGAAGAUUUGAGAAAACAGAACCUGCCAGUUUGUGGUGUUCCUGUACCCAGUGCAGUGAUGCUAUGCUGGUAUCAGCCCGCAAGUUUAGGUGCUGCAUGGAAGUGGACUGUGCACGUGGAAAACUUACAUUUGAUGGAAGUAUUGAACAGAUAUCGUGCAUCACACAGCAUGCAGAUUACCUUGCGCUGAUCAACAGCACAAUCCUGAGACAGGUGGCACCGUUACUUCAGGACAGAAAUGGGAAAAUGUACUGCUGCAGAAAUGGCACCUCAGAAAACAAGUUUCUUAGAGCUACAGCUUACAGGUGGCUGGUUCGAUAGAUCUUCAGCUACUUGGGCUGGGAGAAUAGUAGGCCAUUGCCAGCAUAUGUCUACCACAAUAAUUAUCAGAUCUAGGUGUGUCCCACAGCACAACUGGAUAUACAUCAGCAGAAGAAAGGAAUUGAGAUGUAAUCAUUAUUGUCCUAUUAUUUCUAAUGGAAUUUUUACAAAUAAAUUUGAAUUGA